UUAAGAUUUCAUAUCAGUCCGCGUCGAAAUAUAUUACAUACUAUUUAUUAUAUAUAUUCUUAUUAUAUAUUAUAUUUUUCUUCCUUUAAUACAUUAUAAAAAUUUAAUUCAGUUGUUGUUCUCAUUUAAAAUAAAAAAAAUUAUCAAAUAAUUGUUUUCAUGACCGAAAUUUGAUUUGAAAUUAAUUUUAAACAAAUAACUGAUUUCAAAAAGCGUGUGUAAAUUUCGGAAAACCACGGUUUCCACGCGUUUUACUAGGCUCUUAAUCUUUUAUCCUUAAAUUUCGAGUUUUCUAUAAAAGUAGUAUACUAUAAGAAAGCACAGUAUCAACAAAUGAUCCAAAUAAAAACCUAAUAACCACAUAAAGUUACAUAUGUAUAACAAAUUUUUGACAAUAAAUGUCAGACUAUGCCAUUGAAACUGACUGACUGAUUACUGAGUUAAAAUUCAAUAUGGAUUCGUGAACAAGGCUGCCCCUCAGGAAAAACCUUCAAAUCCAAUGCGAAGAAUAUAGGAGAUUACUAAAAGAAAAUGGAAGCAAUUGUAUUAUGGAAGGAGACUUUAACUCAAAAAGUACCUUUUGGGGUUCAAGACUCACGACUCCUAACGGUGAAGCUUUUUAUAAAGCUGCCAUUGGAUUAAAGUGCUCGUGUCAUUCAACGGGAAAACCAAUCUACUGGAAUUUUGAUCCUAACAGCAUUCCUGAUUUAUUGGAUCUUUUCAUAACAAAAGGAGUAUCUGAUAAUAUUUUGUUUCUUUCUUGCCUACACAACUCUUAUUACCAUCUAUUUCUAAAUAAAAAUGGAAUAUUUUAAGAAUUUGGGAGCAAAAUGCAAACGAAAACUAACGGAAUGGAACGAGUCGAACUAUUUAUUAUAGAUAUACUUUGUCAAAAACAUGGAACUGAAAUAAAAUUAAAUUAAAAUAGUAAAAAA